rnacentral:rRNA from 1 species
GACUGAUUCAUCAAUUAAUCCGUAACGUAGUGGGUUACGGAGGUUAUUACGAAUAACGGAAAAUUAGGGUUUGAUUCCGGAGAGGAAGCGAGAGUAUUGGCUUCCACUUCUAAGGAAGGCAGCAGGCGCGGAAAAUUCUCAAUGUCAAUUCGACGAAGAUGUGACGAGAAAUACCAGUACAGGGCUUUUAAGAACUGUGAUUGGAAUGAGAACAAUAUAAAACCAUUAACGAGGAACAAUUGGAGGGCAAGUCUGGUGCCAGCAGCCGCGGUAAUUCCAGCUCCAAGAGCGUAUCUUAAAGUUGUUGUGGUUAAAAAGCUCGUAGUUUAUAUUUGAUAAAUUUAUCAAGAGUUUGAAUCUGAAAGAGGAAAAUGAUUGAAAGUGUUUAUGAAUGUUUAGCUAACAUUAAGCAGCUUAUAAUGUAUGCCUGUUUACUCCUUGUAUGUAUUAUAGGUUGUGUUAGUUAACAGUUACUGUGAAAAAUUAGAGUGUUCAAAACAGGCAUUUAUGGCUAUUGAAUAUAUUAGCAUGGUGUAACGAAAUAUGACAACUCUAUUACGUUUGAGUGGUACUAUAUCAGUUGAGUAAUUAGAGAUGUAAUGAUUAAAAGGAGCAGUCGUAGUGACUUUUACUUAAUGGAAAGAGGUGAAAUUCUAUAACCCAUUAAAGAAAAACAACUGCGAAAGCAUUUCACUAAAAUGCUUUCAUUAAUCAAGAUCGAAAGUUGUGGGAAAGAAGAUGAUUAGAUACCGUCGUAUUCGCAACUAUAAACUUUGUCGAUUUAGGAUUGCAAAUCGUUACAUUGAUGACAUUUGCAGAACUAUGUGAGAAAUCAAAAUAUUUAGACUCCAGGGGGAAUAUGGUCGCAAGUCUGAAACUUAAAAGAAUUGACGGAAGGGCACCACCAGGCGUGGAACCUGCGGCUUAAUUUGACCCAACGCGAGAAAACUUACCAGGUCAGGACACAAAAAGGAUUGACAGAUUGAUAGCUCUUUCAUGAUAUUGUGAAAAGUGGUGCAUGGCCGUUGCUAGUUGGUGGUUUGAAUUGUCAGGUUAAUUCCGUUAACGAACGAGACCUUAACCUACUAAAUAGUUGAACUAUUUUUAUUGCAGUUACAGGGUGAAAGCCUUGUACUUUGUAGAAAUACAGAGUUUGUAAUAUAUCUAAAUAGGUUACAACUUCUUUAUGGGACAAUCUGCGUUUAUAGCAAAU